AACGAACGCUGGCGGCAGGCUUAACACAUGCAAGUCGAGCGAGGACUUCGGUCCUAGCGGCGGACGGGUGAGUAACGCGUGGGAACGUGCCCUUCUCUCUGGAAUAGCCCUGGGAAACUGGGAGUAAUGCCGGAUACGCCCUGCAAGGGGGAAAGAUUUAUCGGGGAAGGAUCGGCCCGCGUUGGAUUAGGUAGUUGGUGGGGUAAUGGCCUACCAAGCCGACGAUCCAUAGCUGGUUUGAGAGGAUGAUCAGCCACACUGGGACUGAGACACGGCCCAGACUCCUACGGGAGGCAGCAGUGGGGAAUCUUGGACAAUGGGGGCAACCCUGAUCCAGCCAUGCCGCGUGAUCGAUGAAGGCCUUAGGGUUGUAAAGAUCUUUCAGCUGGGAAGAUAAUGACGGUACCAGCAGAAGAAGCCCCGGCUAACUCCGUGCCAGCCGCCGCCGUAACAC
rnacentral:rRNA from 1 species